CUGACUUCUACCCUCCAGAACCGGAGAAGAAUCCUUUCUGUUUAAAUAUAUAAGUGUUGGUACCUAUUUAACCAUUUAUGGAGUCUCUACCAUACAAGAAGUACUGUGGCUGAAGCAGAGAGGUGGAGCAAGAUGGUGGAAUAGAAGGCACCACCGAUCGUCUCCCCGACAAAGACACCAAUUUAACAACUGUCUACACAGGGAAAUCACUUGUGUAAGAACCAACUCUCAGGUUAGCCCUCAUAGUAACAGGUUUUAUCUUCAUAUCUCUGAAAGUGGCACCGAAGAGAUAGAAAAACAUCUUGAACAGCCAGUGCUACCCCUCCCCACUCCACAGCAGCAGCAUGGUUCAGACAGCAUUUCUCUCUGCAGGGAGAACAAGAACAUAGUAAUUCUGAGGCAUUGAACUCAGUGCUUCCCUGUUUAACUGGACCAAACUCAGCUGCCUACCCAUGAAGGGAGUAUUUAAACCAGCCCUAGCCAGAGGGGAAUCGCUGAUUCCCGCAGUCUGAACUUGAAUUCCCACAAACCUCACUCCCAAGGACUAAACUGCUCUGGGUCUCUAAGUAAACUGAAAAGGCAGUCUUGGCCAUGAGGACUGCAACUCUUAGGCAAGUCCUAGUGCUGAACUGGGCCCAGAGACAGUGGACCUGGGGUGUGGAAGGCACAUGACAUACUGAGACACCAGCUGGGGUGGCUAAGGGAGUGGCGUCACCCCUCCCCUACCCCGGGCUGCACGGCUUGUGGCUCCAAAAGAGACUCCUUCCUUCUGCUUGAGGAGAGGAGAAAGAGGAGUGAGGACUUUGUCUUGCAUCUUGGAUAUCAGCUCAGCAACAGGAUAGGGAACCAGUCGGAGUUGUGAGGCCCCCAUUUCAGAUCCUAGUUCCUAGAUAACAUUUCUAGACACACCCUAGCCCAGAAGAGAAUCUGCAGCCCGCCCAGAAGAGGAUCUGCAGCCCUGAAGGGAAGGACCCAGUCUUGGCAGCAUUUAUCAACUGCUAACUGAAGAGCCCUUGGGGGCUAAAUAACAAGCAGUGAUACCCAAGUUCUACGUCAAGUGUCUUGAGUGAGCCUCUGAGACUUGCUGGCUUCAGGUGAGACUCAGCGGUUUAUCAGCUUUGGUGGCUACAGGGUGAAACUCCUUCUGCUUGAGAAAAGCAGAGAGAAAAGUAAAGGGGAGUUUAUCUUGCACCUUAGGUACCAGCACAGCCACAGUGAGGGAGAGCACCAAGGAGGCUCCUGGGGACCUCGAUUCCAGGGCUUAACUUGGAUGGCAUCUCUGCACCUACCCUGGGCCAGAAGGAAGCCCGUUGCCCUGAAGGGUGAGUCCCAGGCCAGGCAGCAUUCACCACAAGCUGACAUAAGAGCCCUUAGGCCUUAAGGGACUAUCAGUGAUAGUCUGGCCGUACUACUACUCAUGGCCUAUGGUGGUGUACUUGGGAUGAGGCCCCUCUGCCUUUAAAAAAAGGAGGGAAGAAUGGGAAGGACUAUGUAUUGCGAUUUGAGUGCAGCUUAGCUGCAGUACAAUAGAAUAGCAGCUAGACUCCUAAGGUUUUUGAUUCUAGUCCCGGAGUCCUGGUUGGCACCUCUGGACCCACCCAGGUUCUGGGGGAACCCACUGCUCUGAAGGGAAGGACACAGUCCUGGCUGGGUUGCCACCUGCUGAUUAUAGAGCCACUGGACCUUAAGCAAA
rnacentral:lncRNA from 1 species